rnacentral:rRNA from 1 species
GUGGGGAAUUUUGGACAAUGGGCGAAAGCCUGAUCCAGCCAUGCCGCGUGCAGGAUGAAGGCCUUCGGGUUGUAAACUGCUUUUGUACGGAACGAAAAGACUCCUUCUAAUAAAGGGGGUCCAUGACGGUACCGUAAGAAUAAGCACCGGCUAACUACGUGCCAGCAGCCGCGGUAAUACGUAGGGUGCAAGCGUUAGUCGGAAUUACUGGGCGUAAAGCGUGCGCAGGCGGUUAUAUAAGACAGAUGUGAAAUCCCCGGGCUCAACCUGGGAACUGCAUUUGUGACUGUAUAGCUAGAGUACGGUAGAGGGGGAUGGAAUUCCGCGUGUAGCAGUGAAAUGCGUAGAUAUGCGGAGGAACACCGAUGGCGAAGGCAAUCCCCUGGACCUGUACUGACGCUCAUGCACGAAAGCGUGGGGAGCAAACAGGAUUAGAAACCCUAGUAGUCC